rnacentral:rRNA from 1 species
GACGAACGCUGGCGGCGUGCCUAAUACAUGCAAGUAGAACGCUGAAGGAGGAGCUUGCUCUUCUGGAUGAGUUGCGAACGGGUGAGUAACGCGUAGGUAACCUGCCUGGUAGCGGGGGAUAACUAUUGGAAACGAUAGCUAAUACCGCAUAAGAGUAGAUGUUGCAUGACAUUUGCUUAAAAGGUGCAAUUGCAUCACUACCAGAUGGACCUGCGUUGUAUUAGCUAGUUGGUGGGGUAACGGCUCACCAAGGCGACGAUACAUAGCCGACCUGAGAGGGUGAUCGGCCACACUGGGACUGAGACACGGCCCAGACUCCUACGGGAGGCAGCAGUAGGGAAUCUUCGGCAAUGGACGGAAGUCUGACCGAGCAACGCCGCGUGAGUGAAGAAGGUUUUCGGAUCGUAAAGCUCUGUUGUAAGACAAGAACGAGUGUGAGAGUGGAAAGUUCACACUGUGACGGUAUCUUACCAGAAAGGGACGGCUAACUACGUGCCAGCAGCCGCGGUAAUACCUAGGUCCCGAGCGUUGUCCGGAUUUAUUGGGCGU